CAGUAGCCGCGGUAAUGCGGAGGGAGCUAGCGUUGUUCGGAAUCACUGGGCGUAAAGCGCACGUAGGCGGCUAUUCAAGUCAGGGGUGAAAGCCCGGGGCUCAACCCCGGAACUGCCUUUGAAACUAGAUAGCUUGAAUCUUGGAGAGGCGAGUGGAAUUCCGAGUGUAGAGGUGAAAUUCGUAGAUAUUCGGAAGAACACCAGUGGCGAAGGCGACUCGCUGGACAAGUAUUGACGCUGAGGUGCGAAAGCGUGGGGAGCAAACAGGAUUAGAUACCCGGGUAGUCCCUGUCUCUUAUAC
rnacentral:rRNA from 1 species